CGGCGGACGGGUGAGUAACGCGUGGGUAACCUGCCUCAUACAGGGGGAUAACAGUUAGAAAUGACUGCUAAUACCGCAUAAGACCACAGCACCGCAUGGUGCGGGGGUAAAAACUCCGGUGGUAUGAGAUGGACCCGCGUCUGAUUAGCUAGUUGGUAAGGUAACGGCUUACCAAGGCGACGAUCAGUAGCCGACCUGAGAGGGUGACCGGCCACAUUGGGACUGAGACACGGCCCAG
rnacentral:rRNA from 1 species